CGGCUGGAUGCAAGGACUUAUUUUGCCCUCUCACUGCAGACCUCUGUUAGCCACUCAGAGAAAGAAGUGACCAGAUAAUAGAGUUCGUCUUCUGUUCUACCAUGGCAGAAAAUACCAAGCUGGAAUUUUGGACUCCACUCACACGGAGGCCACCCUGCCUCUGCAGUAACAACCUUCAUCUGGUCAUGAAGGCAGAAUCCCCACAACCCAGUGGCUUCCUGAAGUUCCCUGCUCACCACACUGGCAAGUGGGAUUCCGUCUCAGCACCCAAACUCAGCGGCAUCUCGUGUUUUCUUUCAAGAAACUCUGUGUGAGGCGGGACAGUGUAAACAGGAUCUUCUCAGGGCAUCGCCUGCCCAGCAGACAUAUUUUCUGGCUAUGAAAACAAAUUGGAAAAAAAAAAAAAACCUAAAUAAACAUAAGUCUUUGCAUUGUUGCGUUUUUGAAAGAGUAAAGAGCCGAAACGUUUAUUUAAUAACCCACCCCACUGCAGGAACCACAGGAUGCCAAAGGAACACAGGCUUGGGGCUGUCUGAGGAAAGCAAGGCCUGACCCCAAAUUCUUCUUCCUAAUAUGCAAAUGAACUCACCAACAACUGUUUGCUGCUUCUCAACGCCUGAGAUUUCCCAGCAUGCCUUGCCACAGGAGAAGCCACCAUUGGAUCUCGGUCCUCCGAUU
rnacentral:lncRNA from 1 species